GGCUGUAAUGGCUCAACUGGGAAACUUCUCGUACUUUUCUCACUUUGCGAUCGCACCAAACACCGUCAGAUCCCCCUCUGUUGGCGCCCAGCUCGAACGCCGCGGUGGUCGCCCGCUCGCAUGGGUAACCUGCGACGUCGGUUCACUGGUCUUCGGACCGCGGCCCUCAGCCCUGGAGAUGACACUUGAGGGAGGCUUCACUCUGCAGAGAACUCUCCCCCGUCGCGUGGCGGGCCGGAUCACGACCCGGAGGGGAAUUUUGGGCUGGUUGCGUGAGAAGGAGAACACAACCAAUUUU
rnacentral:SRP_RNA from 1 species